UACAGAGGUCUCAAGCGUUUGUUCGGAUUCAUUGGGCGUAAAGGGUGUGUAGGUGGCGCCGUAAGUCGGGUGUGAAAUUUCGGAGCUUAACUCCGAAACUGCAUUCGAUACUGCGGUGCUUGAGGACUGGAGAGGAGACUGGAAUUCAUGGUGUAGCAGUGAAAUGCGUAGAGAUCAUGAGGAAGACCAGUGGAGAAGGCGGGUCUCUGGGCAGUAACUGACGCUGAGGAGCGAAAGCGUGGGGAGCGAACAGG
rnacentral:rRNA from 1 species